UGCCAUAUUCCCCCCCUGAGCCCCCAGCCGUCCCUGGUCCCUGCUCCUCCAAGCUGAGAACCACAGUGAGUCAACCACUAAGCUCAACUUCCUGUUCACUCGCAAACUCAGAGGUCCAGCAGGGAGCUGAGGCUCUACAACAAGGGCCGGAACAACGCCCAGGCCAGCUCCCUUCAGAGAGCAGACGGCUGUCCUCUCUGACCUCUACCUCCACCUGGGUCUGUCCAGAUUUGCAGUAAUGAGUUUUACACCUUUACAGUUAUGAAAUUCCAUCACUGAAGAUAAAAAGCGAAAUCGUGAAGGUGAUUGGGGCCCAACGGGAGGAGAGCCGGGUAGAGGACUGCAUGGUGAGGACGGUGCUGGCAGGCAGGCAGCGCCCCCCGAGGGAGCUCCUGGAACAGGACUUCCUGGACAGCCGCCCCAUCCACCCAGACUCCCUCCUGGACCCCUCUGGGGCCUGCAUUCGCACCCUUCAGGAGGGGAUGGUGUGAAGGCGAGAUCUGUGGUCGGGACCCAGGGGCACUUGGCCACUGUGGCCCCAAGUCUUUGGAAGGACCAGCUCCAUCCCCAGCUGAAGUUCCACGAGUGGAGUGGAGUAGGGGCUGAGCUGGUGGCCUCCAUUCCGGGGUGGGUUGGGACAUCCUCCCCAGCUGUGACCUCCUUGAGGCUCCCUCUCGGGGUGUUAGGUCCAUACUACCUGGGUCUUGCGGCCUGGUUCUCCUGAGACAGGGGCUGGGCCCCCUCCCACUGUUCCCCUCACUUAUGCUGGCUCUUGUUUUGGUAUUUACAAAUGCCCUUAUUUCUUGGAUUUAUAUAAUAGAACUAGCUUUUAAUAAAACUUAAAAUUUUAGUGUUUAAAAGGGUCAGCGUGGUGGCCUGAAGUGCCUUCUCCCUGUGUGUGUCCAUCCCCAGAGCACCGUGCUUGGUGGCUCCUGCCCAUACCCCUGGCCACUGCUCCUUUCGUGUCCCCACGGGCACCUGACCUGCAGGGUUCACACCAGUGCAGUCGGACUUGCCUUUGGCCACACAGUCGUGAGAGGGGCUGAUGAAUCUUGCGCUAUGCAGAAGGGGAAACCCUAGAAAGAUCCCGGCCAUUUUUCAUUGUCUUCUUCAGUAGGUAAUCCAGGUUGUGUUGCCAGACAGGAUGUAUUUAUCACAGUAAGAUAACGUGUGCAGUGAGUGAAGGACAGGCGAAGGGGACCAUCGCAGGAAACCCACUGGGCCUUGGCCUCCCCUAGGCGCCGCCUCCCUGUCUGCAUCUCGGGGUUCAGGCUGCGUCUUCCCUGCUGGGAGGGGGUGCGCCAGGCCUCAGCUCUCCU
rnacentral:lncRNA from 1 species